UAGCAUUUGAGGAUAGAAAUGCGGCAGCUAUCACCCUCUAUGUUAGGAGAUACGGGAAAAGUCGACCCGUCUAUGCUA
rnacentral:ncRNA from 1 species